rnacentral:rRNA from 1 species
GAUGAACGCUGGCGGCGUGCCUAAUACAUGCAAGUCGAGCGAACGGACGAGAAGCUUGCUUCUCUGAUGUUAGCGGCGGACGGGUGAGUAACACGUGGAUAACCUACCUAUAAGACUGGGAUAACUUCGGGAAACCGGAGCUAAUACCGGAUAAUAUUUUGAACCGCAUGGUUCAAAAGUGAAAGACGGUCUUGCUGUCACUUAUAGAUGGAUCCGCGCUGCAUUAGCUAGUUGGUAAGGUAACGGCUUACCAAGGCAACGAUGCAUAGCCGACCUGAGAGGGUGAUCGGCCACACUGGAACUGAGACGCGGUCCAGACUCCUACGGGAGGCAGCAGUAGGGAAUCUUCCGCAAUGGGCGAAAGCCUGACGGAGCAACGCCGCGUGAGUGAUAAAGGUCUUCGGAUCGUAAAACUCUGUUAUUAGGGAAGAACAUAUGUGUAAGUAACUGUGCACAUCUUGACGGUACCUAAUCAGAAAGCCACGGCUAACUACGUG